CACGUAGGGCGCAAGCGUUGUCCGGAAUUAUUGGGCGUAAAGAGCUCGUAGGCGGUCUGUUGCGUCCGCUGUGAAAACCCGGGGCUUAACCCUGGGCUGGCAGUGGAUACGGACAGACUAGAGGUAGGUAGGGGAGAAUGGAAUUCCCGGUGUAGCGGUGAAAUGCGCAGAUAUCAGGAGGAACACCGGUGGCGAAGGCGGUUCUCUGGGCAUUACCUGACGCUGAGGAGCGAAAGUGUGGGGAGCGAACAGG
rnacentral:rRNA from 1 species